GACGAACGCUGGCGGCGUGCUUAACACAUGCAAGUCGAACGAAGUGGCGAACGGGUGAGUAACGCGUAAUCAACCUGCCCUUCAGAGGGGGACAACAGUUGGAAACGACUGCUAAUACCGCAUACUGAUGGAGGGGAUUGCGUCUGAUUAGCUAGUUGGAGGGGUAACGGCCCACCAAGGCGAUGAUCAGUAGCCGGUCUGAGAGGGUGAAUGGCCACAUUGGGACGGAGACACGGCCCAUGCUCCUAAGGGGGGCAGCAGGUGGGAAUCUUCCGCAAUGGACGAAAGGCUGACGGAGCAACGCCGGGGGAGUGGUGGCGGCCUUCGGGUUGGAAAGCUCUGUUAAUCGGGGCGCGGUACCGGAAUAGAAAGCCACGGCUAAUUACGUGCCAGCAGCCGCGGUAAUAC
rnacentral:rRNA from 1 species